rnacentral:lncRNA from 1 species
GUAAAAUUGGAGAGCUACAAAUCUUCCACGGUUGCAUAGACCACAGGAUUCACAGAUCUGGAGAUGAUGUCCCUAUAAUCAGGCGGCAACAAUCCCUCCCAAUCCGUUUCAUUUACUGUACUUGAAGUAGAAGAUCCAAGUUGAACAUUCCGAUCAUCACUAAUCGGAGUACUCCUCCCAGAUAUAGUAACAUUCCAAUCAUCACUAAUUGGAGUAGUCCACCCGGAUAUAGAGCUGAAACUGGGUUCCCUCGAGGAAAUUAAAGCAAGUUGCCUGAGUUGUUCCCUACGGAGAACAACUUCCAAAAUCUUUCCCAAUUAUCAUAGUUAUUAGACAUCUAGCUACAAAAUCUCGAAUCGGAGAAUCCCACUUGAAUUAUUGAAACUUUAGUAACUGAAUUGCUUUGGUGUGCUGAUUUUAAUUCAGACACGUAGAAAGGAUUGAAGUCUUGGUCUUGCCGUCCAUGGUGAAGCCAGUUAAAUGCUGG